rnacentral:rRNA from 1 species
UACGUAGGGUGCGAGCGUUGUCCGGAAUUAUUGGGCGUAAAGAGCUCGUAGGCGGUCUGUCGCGUCGGUCGUGAAAACUUGGGGCUUAACCCUGAGCUUGCGGUCGAUACGGGCAUGACUGGAGUUCGGUAGGGGAGACUGGAAUUCCUGGUGUAGCGGUGAAAUGCGCAGAUAUCAGGAGGAACAUCGGUGGCGAAAGCGCUCUACUGGACCUCAUCUGACACUCAGGGACGAAAGCUAGGGGAGCGAAUGGG